ensembl:lncRNA
GCAGGUUUGGUACCCUGUAGAUCUGGGUUCAAGGCCGGGUGGGGUGACUGUCCUCUUUCUUCGCUACAAAUAGGGUUCACUCAAAUAAAUGUUUUAAACUUUGUAGAAGUUCCUGCAAUCAGGUGUGUGCAUGUUUGUGGACCUUGACACUGACUGCUGAUUGUUGUCUUCUGUUUAGUUAGAGGCUUAGCAGGUUUUUAUCUUGAUAUUUGGAAUUUGGCUUUCUCUUUAUUUUCAUUAAUAACUUUUUGGGUUGAAUUUUGAAUCUGCGUUCCCUAAUCUGCAUUUUGUGUGUUGGAUUUAUGGUGUGUUUGAUCUUUUUGAAGAGUUAAUAAACCCAUAUGACUUUUUAACCCUCACUCUGACUCUGAGCUUUUGGCCACACCCACAUAUAGACGGUGACCCAACGCUUGGGUCUUCACAAACACAGACAAAUAAAUUGACACUUCCGCCUCUUUACCUGAUAUCAUAAAUAGCUUCGCCCAGCAUGUCUGUCACUGUGGACACAUCUCUUAGGUCCUGUAAAUGCUCAGUGCAAUUUUAAUGCUGAUCAACUAAGGCAAGUGGUUACAGGUAAUAAACAUACAAUGUUUUUUGUCUUUUCAAUAUUUACAACUCUAUAGAAACUAGGGCUGAACGAUUAAUUGCAUUUGCGAUUUAAUCGUGAUAUGAUAGAACGCGAUUUUCUAACCGCAACGUUCGCGAUUAAAAAACGUGGUCUAAAAAAAAAAAAAAAAAAAAUGUUUUUUUUUUUUUUAAGAUGGUAAAUUUUGCACACAGUGUUUAAAAAGUGCAUGCCUAGUGUUUAUACUUAAAAUUACUUUUUUUAAAUUACUUAAAUGCACAGUGGCAAAGCCACCUAUUUGUUGUUCUUGUUUCUGUAAUGAGCAGUUAAAUAAAAAUGUAAAAUGUGGGAAAGAAUAUUUUACACUAAAUGUAUCUAAUAUUGUGUUGGUCAUAUUUAAAUCAUUCAUUACGUUUUGUUGGGAAAAAAAGAGGAUACAAAAAAAAAAUCGCAUAUUAAAUCGCAAUCGCAAUAUUUUGGUAAAAAAUCGCAAUUAGAUUAUUUUCCCAAAUCGUUCAGCCC